UACGGGGGGGGCAAGCGUUGUUCGGAAUUACUGGGCGUAAAGGGCUCGUAGGCGGCCAACUAAGUCAGACGUGAAAUCCCUCGGCUUAACCGGGGAACUGCAUCUGAUACUGGAUGGCUUGAGUUCGGGAGAGGGAUGUGGAAUUCCAGGUGUAGCGGUGAAAUGCGUAGAUAUCUGGAGGAACACCGGUGGCGAAGGCGGCAUCCUGGACCGACACUGACGCUGAGGAGCGAAAGCGUGGGGAGCAAACAGG
rnacentral:rRNA from 1 species